rnacentral:rRNA from 1 species
GGUAUGGGAUGAGCUUGCGUCCGAUUAGCUAGUUGGCGGGGCAACGGCCCACCAAGGCGACGAUCGGUAGCCGGCCUGAGAGGGUGAUCGGCCACAUUGGGACUGAGAUACGGCCCAGACUCCUACGGGAGGCAGCAGUAGGGAAUAUUGCACAAUGGGGGAAACCCUGAUGCAGCAACGCCACGUGUGGGAAGAAGCAUUUCGGUGUGUAAACCACUGUCAUGAGGGAAUGAGGCCUAUUUUCGGAUAGGAUUGAAUGUACCUUGAGAGGAAGCACCGGCAAACUUCGUGCCAGCAGCCGCGGUAAUACGAGGGGUGCAAGCGUUGUUCGGAAUUACUGGGCGUAAAGGGAACGUAGGCGGAGAUUCAAGCGGAUUGUACAAUCCCGGGGCCCAACCCCGGCUCUGCAGUCCGAACUGGAUCUCUUGGAUAGUUCAGGGGCAGGC